UCCAGUGUGGCCUAGUGGUUUGAGCAUUGGACUAUGACUCUGGGAGGCCAGGGUUCAAAUUUGGACUCUGCCAUGGAA